AUACCAAAAAAAUCAGGGUGUGGCAUGUUAGCAAUCUCAAGGUCACGCUUUAAAAAAAAAAAAAAAUCAACCCAAGUUAGAAAAUUCUUGAAAUACAGACAGCAACCCAUGUCUGUCAAAGUAAACAAGUGUAAGCUGAGGUUUCCCCCCCUCAAAAAAAAAAAAGAGAAAGAAAGUUGAUAGCUCAUACCUCGAUGCAUUGCUGUGUAGCGAACUGUCCUCCUCUUGGCUUUUGUCCUUAUU